CCCAAAAAGAGAUGCCCCCCCAACCCUGGACUUUUUUUUCUUCAUGAUUAGAACACAAAAGAUCCAUCUUCUUCGGCACUCCAAGAACAGAAGCAAUGGCGACCCCUGAUUUCUUCAACGCCACCAACAAUUCCAACACCCAUCCCUUUUUAUCUUCCAUGCCCUUCUUCUUAAGACCACACUUUAAGAAGCUAAAAAAAAUAAAGAAUAGAGGAACGGACAGACGCAAAAAUAGAGAGGAGGACAAUGGAUUCUCCAAGAAAGUUCACACAACAUUUGGUAAUGUUGUUUUAAUCCACACUUUAAGAAGCUAAAAAAAAUAAAGAAUAGAGGAACGGACAGACGCAAAAAUAGAGAGGAGGACAAUGGAUUCUCCAAGAAAGUUCACACAACAUUUGGUAAUGUUGUUUUAAUCCACACUUUAAGAAGCUAAAAAAAAUAAAGAAUAGAGGAACGGACAGACGCAAAAACAGAGAGGAGGACAAUGGAUUCUCCAAGAAAGUUCACACAACAUUUGGUAAUGUAGAUAGAUUAAAACAGGGGAGAAACAGACACUUGAAAAUAAGCACCACAAACAGCCCGAAGCAGCUCCAAAUCGUCAGUCACUGUCAUAAAGUCUGUUGGUUUCAUUAUUUGGUUUAAUUCGAUUUUCCGGCGAGGUUGUCCGCUCGAUGUCCUAUUCGGCAAGUCAAGUCUGACUAAGGUACAUCUUUGGAUCACCCUGAUGUAAUUUUGAGUUGAGUUGAAAUAGAAACACUGGCCAGAUUCGAGUAUAUCUGGAUGUUGUCAAUUGUUUUAUCAUUUGUUAGUUGCUAGCUAAAUGCUUAGUAUUUGUUUUUGCAUUAUUAGAACAACUGUUUGGAUUAUAUGUUGUAUGGACUAUUCUGGACUGUCUUAGCUUACUAGUUCAUUCAGUAUUACCAGGGUAGUAUGGUAUAGCUUAAUUCAAUUCCA